rnacentral:ncRNA from 1 species
CACAUAGAGGCGCGAAUUUUAUAAGUAAGCGAGAGGUAAAACGGAAAUAUCUCGCCCAAAGGAAAAUUCGCCGAAACGCUUUUUGCUCCGUCCGUUCGGACAAAAGGGUUGGGCUGCAGGGUAAUACGUUGCAGACUGUCGCAGGGAAACUUGCGGAGAGCUAUCGGGU